ensembl:misc_RNA Metazoa_SRP Metazoan signal recognition particle RNA
GCUGGGCACCAUGGCACGUGCCUGUACUCCCAGCUACUCGGGAGGCUGAGGUGGGAGGAUCACUUGAGCCCGGGGGUUCUGAGCUAUUGUGUGCUAUGCCAAUCGGGUGUCCGCACUAAGUUUGGCAUCAAUAUGGUGACUUUCCGGGAGUGGUGGACCACCAGGUUGCCUAAGAAGGCGUGAACCGGCCCAGGUCAGAAACAGAGCUGGUCAAAACUCCCAUGCUGAUCAGUAGAGGGAUCAUGCCACUGCACUCCAGCCUGGGAAACAUAGCGAGACCCCAUCUCUU